UACCUGUACUUUUAAUAGUUGCUAUCGUUGCAUAGGAUCAGUGUAGCAUAAUUCCUCGCAUUUUUUCGAAAGUUUUUUGUUACGAGAAGUAAUUAUGACGAAUUCAGUAGAAAGCGAUCUUCGCUGUCGCAUCUGUUUGCGAACGGAUGUUGAGGAACUUAUGUCCCUAUUCUGUGUUUCUGCUACUCAGAGGAUGCUGCUAGCACACAUGGUUCUUGCCAGUACUGGUAUUCCGAUUUCUACAUUGGACCAACUACCACAGUUAAUGUGUGAUAUGUGCAUGGAGAACCUAGAGGUUGCCUAUGCAUUUUGGAAACGCUGUCGUCAAUCAUGGGGACGCUUCAAGAGAUUGCACGCUGAGAACGAAGAUAGCUAUCAUCGAUGUCGACUGUGCUUGAAAGACGAUGUCGAAGAACUUACAUUGCUCACUGAAAUUUUCGUAGACUCUAUACUUAGCAUUGGUGAAAUGAUACAGCAGUUGGCAGGUAUUGAGAUAGUCGAAACAGAUAACUUUCCUCGCUACAUUUGUGAUCUCUGCCUGAAUGAUCUAAACACUGGAUUUAAUUUUCGAACCCUUUGUCGGCAAACUAAUCAAACAUUGCAUAAACAGUUUACACCGUCGCUUAACUAUGAAGUUGAUAAUGAAGGUGUACGGCAACAGGAUUCUGAAAUCAAAGAUUUAUGUUCCAAAGAUGCUUUUCUGAGUCUCGAUAAAGCUCAAAUGAGAACAUCAAUUCAACUUACAAUAAGCCCAAUAAGUAAAUUACCAGCGAGCGCUGCUAUCAAAACUAAACAUGAGGGAAAAUCAAUAGCAAAGUCCAAAGCUAAUGUUUUCGGAAAUAAUGACCCCCCCGCUAAUAAGAGUCUUCCACAUUUUGAUAAUAAGAAAACUUCGCAGGUGAAUGACGGGACCAAUCAGAAGUCGUCGCAGAAACUAUACUUCUUGUCCUCGUCCGAGCUGAAAGAACUUGUAAAAGCAAAGCAAAAACCUGAAGCGAUUAAAAAAACUUCUGUUGAAGUAAAACUGCCUGGCAAGUCAUCCGGAAAAUGGCAACUUAUUGCAUCUGAGAGUUUUCUCAUCCCUAGCGACUCAGAGAAGCUGAACGAUAAGGGACGUUUUUCUGUGUCAAAAAUUUUCAGUUUUAAGUGUUCUGCAUGUCGAAUGACUUACACAGUAGAAGGCAUCCGUGCCAAAUGUAUCGAAUGUCAAUUACCUUUCAAAAACUUCACUUCUCUCCAAAGUGCUCGAAAGUCGAACGAAGAGUUCCAAAUUGGAUUCAGUUGCCACGAAUGUAAUUUCUACACUGUAACGGUUAUGUCAAUUAACUUACAUCUGAAAAGCCAUGACAGGAAAAUUUCUUCCGUGGAAGAUGAAAUGCUAAGUUCCAUUACUUCAAACGAAAAGAAGUUUUCGGCGCGCUUAAAACGGAAAGCAGUAAUUACUCCAAUUGACAUAAAAGAAAUGGAAUGCACUAUUGAAACACCAGACGAAGCAGAUCCUCUGGAACUUGUGCCAGCGAAAGAAAGCAUUAGUGACAAACCACUCAGCGUUGAUGAUGCAUCGAAUGCGAAAAGACCUAAGCACAGUGGUCCGAGAAACCAUUCCAGACGAAGUAAACCUCAACAACCUAUCGGUAAACAGGUCGCGUCAGCAUUAGUGGAUGAGAGCCCCCCUGCACCUCGAAGUACUCGACAGAGGAGAAAGAAUUUUGGUGUUUCGAAGCUUAGUGACGAUUUUAUCUAUUGAACAGACUUUACGUUGAAAUACGGAUCAUGAAAAAAUAAAACAGAUUGUUCUAAGGUAAGGAACAUAUUUUAAGCAGCUUCAGGAACCGCCUGUGUAUUCAGACGAAAUACUCGAAAUGUGUUGGGUGAAACUCAAACAGUAGUAUAUCAAUCUGUUCGCUAUCGUUUUCUCUAUCAGAACUUGUUUUCAGAUUGUAAAACUAAGUUAGCAAACUUUGACAAUCGUCGAUCAAAGUUACGAAUCGAGGGACACUAUUCCAAUCACCCCGAACCUAUUUUAAGCAGUUUC